rnacentral:rRNA from 1 species
UACGUAGGGGGCAAGCGUUAUCCGGAUUUACUGGGUGUAAAGGGAGCGUAGACGGCUGUGCAAGCCAGAUGUGAAAGCCCGGGGCUCAACCCCGGGACUGCAUUUGGAACUGUGUAGCUGGAGUGUCGGAGAGGCAGGCGGAAUUCCUAGUGUAGUGGUGAAAUGCAUAGAUAUUAGGAGGAACACCAGUGGCGAAGGCGGCUUGCUGGACUGAAACUGACGCUGAGGCUCGAAAGCGUGGGGAGCAAACAGG